rnacentral:rRNA from 1 species
GACGAACCGUCCAAACGUUGUUCGGAAUCACUGGGCUUAAAGGGCGCGUAGGCGGAUGCUCAAGUCGGUGGUGAAAUCUUUCGGCUCAACCGGAAAAGUGCCGCCGAUACUGGGGAUCUCGAGGGAGGUAGGGGUCGAGGGAACUUCCGGUGGAGCGGUGAAAUGCGUAGAUAUCGGAAGGAACGCCGGUGGCGAAAGCGCUCGACUGGACCUCUGCUGACGCUGAGGCGCGAAAGCCAGGGGAGCAAAGCGGGG